CAAACUGUUCCAAUGCGGCUGUACACGUCAUUUAUUAGUGCCCAAAAAUACAGGAAUCAAGUUCAGUUAGCAAAACAAGCAAGGUAACUUCACUUGAUCAUAAACCAGAGUAAUGUGGCAGAAAAGGUGAAAUACACGACCAGUAGUCAGAGGUUGGCGUGCACAAUGUCAAAUCCGGACAGUAAGGAGACCUAAUCUAAUCUAAGUAGUGAUGUAUUAAAGAUUUUUUAUCACAAAGUCAUUAAGAAUAAUUAUUUCAUUAAAUAUCUAUCUCGGCUCAA